rnacentral:rRNA from 1 species
AGAGUUUGAUCAUGGCUCAGGACGAACGCUGGCGGCGUGCCUAACACAUGCAAGUCGAGCGGAGAUAUUAGCAAUAAUAUUUUAGCGGCGGACGGGUGAGUAACGCGUGGGCAACCUACCUUUCACAGGGGGAUAACACAGGGAAACUUGUGCUAAUACCGCAUAACGUCAUGAGGAGACAUCUUCUUAUGACCAAAGGAGUAAUCCAGUGAUAGAUGGGCCCGCGUCCGAUUAGCUAGUUGGUGGUGUAACGGACCACCAAGGCGACGAUCGGUAGCCGAACUGAGAGGUUGAUCGGCCACAUUGGGACUGAGAUACGGCCCAGACUCCUACGGGAGGCAGCAGUGGGGAAUAUUGCGCAAUGGAGGAAACUCUGACGCAGCAACGCCGCGUGAAGGAUGAAGGUUUUCGGAUCGUAAACUUCUUUGAUGGGGGACGAACAAAGACGGUACCCCAAAAACAAGCCACGGCUAACUACGUGCCAGCAGCCGCGGUAAUACGUAGGUGGCGAGCGUUGUCCGGAAUUACUGGGUGUAAAGGGCGUGUAGGCGGGAAUGUAAGUCAGAUGCGAAAGGCCGAGGCUUAACCUCGGAGCUGCAUCUGAAACUGUGUUUCUUGAGUAUCGGAGAGGAAAGUGGAAUUCCCAGUGUAGCGGUGAAAUGCGUAGAUAUUGGGAGGAACACCAGUGGCGAAGGCGACUUUCUGGACGAUAACUGACGCUGAGGCGCGAAAGCGUGGGGAGCAAACAGGAUUAGAUACCCUGGUAGU